rnacentral:rRNA from 1 species
UACAGAGGUCCCAAGCGUUGUUCGGAUUCACUGGGCGUAAAGGGUGCGUAGGCGGUCGAGUAAGUCUGAUGUGAAAUCUCCAAGCUCAACUUGGAAAUGGCAUCGGAUACUAUUCGGCUCGAGGAAUGGAGGGGAGACUGGAAUACUUGGUGUAGCAGUGAAGUGCGUAGAUAUCAAGUGGAACACCAGUGGCGAAGGCGAGUCUCUGGACAUUUCCUGACGCUGAGGCACGAAAGCCAGGGGAGCAAACGGG